rnacentral:tRNA from 1 species
UGGGGAUUGGUGUAGCGGUAACACAGGUGACUCUGGAUCACCGGCCACAGGUUCGACUCCUGUAUCCCCAGCCA